rnacentral:rRNA from 1 species
CCUACGGGUGGCAGCAGUGGGGAAUAUUGCACAAUGGGCGCAAGCCUGAUGCAGCCAUGCCGCGUGUGUGAAGAAGGCCUUCGGGUUGUAAAGCACUUUCAGCGGGGAGGAAGGCGGUGAGGUUAAUAACCUCAUCGAUUGACGUUACCCGCAGAUGAAGCACCGGCUAACUCCGUGCCAGCAGCAGCGGUAAUACGGAGGGUGCAAGCGUUAAUCGGAAUUACUGGGCGUAAAGCGCACGCAGGCGGUCUGUCAAGUCGGAUGUGAAAUCCCCGGGCUCAACCUGGGAACUGCAUUCGAAACUGGCAGGCUAGAGUCUUGUAGAGGGGGGUAGAAUUCCAGGUGUAGCGGUGAAAUGCGUAGAGAUCUGGAGGAAUACCGGUGGCGAAGGCGGCCCCCUGGACAAAGACUGACGCUCAGGUGCGAAAGCGUGGGGAGCAAACAGGAUUAGAUACCCGUGUAGUC